rnacentral:rRNA from 1 species
UACGGGGGGGGGCAAGCGUUGUUCGGAAUUACUGGGCGUAAAGGGCGCGUAGGCGGUUUGCUAAGUUGGAUGUGAAAACUCUGGGCUUAACCCAGAGCCUGCAUCCAAAACUGGCAAACUUGAGUACUGGAGGGGAAAGCGGAAUUCCUGGUGUAGCGGUGAAAUGCGUAGAUAUCAGGAGGAACACCGGUGGCGAAGGCGGCUUUCUGGACAGUAACUGACGCUGAGGCGCGAAAGCUAGGGGGAGCAAACAGG